rnacentral:rRNA from 1 species
CUACCCUUGACAUGGAAGGAGUCCUUGAGAGAUCGAGGAGUGCCCGAAAGGGAACCUUUACACAGGUGCUGCAUGGCUGUCGUCAGCUCGUGUCGUGAGAUGUUGGGUUAAGUCCCGCAACGAGCGCAACCCUUGUCAUUAGUUGCUACGAAAGGGCACUCUAAUGAGACUGCCGGUGACAAACCGGAGGAAGGUGGGGAUGACGUCAAGUCCUCAUGGCCCUUAUGGGUAGGGCUUCACACGUCAUACAAUGGUACAUACAGAGGGCCGCCAACCCGCGAGGGGGAGCUAAUCCCAGAAAGUGUAUCGUAGUCCGGAUUGUAGUCUGCAACUCGACUACAUGAAGUUGGAAUCGCUAGUAAUCGCGGAUCAGCAUGUCGCGGUGAAUACGUUCCCGGGUCUUGUACACACCGCCCGUCACACCAUGGGAGCGGGUUUUACCAGAAGUAGGUAGCUUAACCGCAAGGAGGGCGCUUACCACGGUAGGAUUCGUGACUGGGGUG